AUUGAACGCUGGCGGCAUGCCUUACACAUGCAAGUCGAACGGCAGCACGGAGCUUGCUCUGGUGGCGAGUGGCGAACGGGUGAGUAAUAUAUCGGAACGUACCCUAGAGUGGGGGAUAACGUAGCGAAAGUUACGCUAAUACCGCAUACGAUCUACGGAUGAAAGUGGGGGAUCGCAAGACCUCAUGCUCGUGGAGCGGCCGAUAUCUGAUUAGCUAGUUGGUAGGGUAAAAGCCUACCAAGGCAUCGAUCAGUAGCUGGUCUGAGAGGACGACCAGCCACACUGGAACUGAGACACGGCCCAAACUCCUACGGGAGGCAGCAGUGGGGAAUCUUCCGCAAUGGACGAAAGUCUGACGGAGCAACGCCGCGUGAGUGAAGAAGGUUUUCGAAUCGUAAAGCUCUGUUGUCAGGGACGAGCAGGGGGAGUAUCAACAACACUCUCUCAUGACGGUACCUGACGAGGAAGCCACGGCUAACUACGUGCCAGCAGCCGCGGUAAUACGUAGGUGGCGAGCGUUGUCCGGAAUUAUUGGGCGUAAAGGGAGCGCAGGUGGGAAAGUAAGUCUGCUUUAAAAGUGCGGGGCUCAACCCCGUGAGGGAGUGGAAACUAUUUUUCUUGAGUGCAGGAGAGGAAAGCGGAAUUCCUAGUGUAGCGGUGAAAUGCGUAGAUAUUAGAGGAACACCAGUGGCGAAGGCGGCUUUCUGGACUGUAACUGACACUGAGGCUCGAAAGCCAGGGGAGCGAACGGGAUUAGAUACCCCGGUAGUCCUGGCCGUAAACGAUGGAUACUAGGUGUAGGAGGUAUCGACCCCUUCUGUGCCGGAGUUAACGCAAUAAGUAUCCCGCCUGGGGAGUACGAUCGCAAGAUUAAAACUCAAAGGAAUUGACGGGGGCCCGCACAAGCAGCGGAGCAUGUGGUUUAAUUCGAAGCAACGCGAAGAACCUUACCUGGACUUGACAUCCCCUGAAUAGCCUAGAGAUAGGCGAAGCCCUUCGGGGCAGGGAGACAGGUGGUGCAUGGUUGUCGUCAGCUCGUGUCGUGAGAUGUUAGGUUAAGUCCUGCAACGAGCGCAACCCUUAUCAUUAGUUGCUACCAUUAAGUUGAGCACUCUAGUGAGACUGCCCGGGUUAACCGGGAGGAAGGUGGGGAUGACGUCAAAUCAUCAUGCCCCUUAUGUCCAGGGCAACACACGUGCUACAAUGGUGGGUACAGAGAGAUGCAAUACCGCGAGGUGGAGCCAAACUCUAAAACCCAUCCCAGUUCGGAUUGUAGGCUGAAACUCGCCUACAUGAAGCUGGAGUUGCUAGUAAUCGCGAAUCAGAAUGUCGCGGUGAAUACGUUCCCGGGCCUUGUACACACCGCCCGUCACACCAUGAGAGCUGGCAACACCCGAAGUCCGUGAGAUAACCGUAAGGAGUCAGCGGCCGAAGGUGGGGUUAGUGAUUGGGGUG
rnacentral:rRNA from 1 species